rnacentral:rRNA from 1 species
GACGAACGCUGGCGGCGUGCUUAACACAUGCAAGUCGAACGGAAAGGCCCUUCGGGGUACUCGAGUGGCGAGCGGGUGAGUAACACGUGGGUGAUCUGCCCUGCACUUUGGGAUAAGCCUGGGAAACUGGGUCUAAUACCGAAUAUGAUCAUCAGCUUCAUGGUUGGUGGUGGAAAGCUUUUGCGGUGUGGGAUGGGCCCGCGGCCAUUCGGCUUGUGGGUGGGGUAAUGGCAUACCAAGGCGACGACGGGUAGCCGGCCUGGGAGGGUGACCGGCCACACUGGGACUGGGAUACGGCCCAGACUCCUACGGGAGGCGGCAGUGGGGAAUAUUGCACAAUGGGCGUAAGCCUGAUGCAGCGACGCCGCGUGGGGGAUGACGGCCUUCGGGUUGUAAACCUCUUUCAGCACAGACGAAGCGCAAGUGACGGUAUGUGCAGAAGAAGGACCGGCCAACUACGUGCCAGCCGCCGCCGUAAUAC